ACUUUCUUCAGCAACAUCUAUUCUAAAAUUGGAAUGACACAGAGAAGGUUAGCAUGGACCCCAAGCAAGGAUGAGACGCAAAUUCCCAAAGACUUAGUUUA
ensembl:snRNA U6 U6 spliceosomal RNA